AUGCGACUGUGGAUCGAGCCCAUGUGAAGCCUCUUCGAUGAGUCGAGUUGUUUGGGAAUGCAGCUCAAAAUGGGUGGUAAAUUUCAUCUAAAGCUAAAUACUGGCUGGAGACCGAUAGCGCACAAGUAGAGUGAUCGAAAGAUGAAAAGCACUUUGGAAAGAGAGUCAAAAAGUACGUGAAAUUGUUGAAAGGGAAGCGCUUGCAACCAGACCUGUCCGUAGGUGAUCAGCCGCUGUUCUCAGUGGUGCACUCGCUCUGCGAUCAGGCCAGCAUCGGUUCGGGCGGUCGGAUAAAGGCCCUGGGAAUGUAGCUUCCUUCGGGGAGUCUUAUAGCCCUCGGUGCAAUGCGGCCAGCCGGGACCGAGGACCGCGCUUCGGCUAGGAUGCUGGCGUAAUGGUUGUAAGCGACCCGUCUUGAAACACGGACCAAGGAGUCUAACAUCUAUGCGAGUGUUUGGGUGUUAAACCCAUGCGCGGAAUGAAAGUGAACGGAGGUGAGAACCCUUAAGGGCGCAUCAUCGACCGAUCCAGAUGUCUUCGGAUGGAUUUGAGUAUGAGCAUAGCUGUUGGGACCCGAAAGAUGGUGAACUAUGCCUGAAUAGGGUGAAGCCAGAGGAAACUCUGGUGGAGGCUCGCAGCGGUUCUGACGUGCAAAUCGAUCGUCAAAUUUGGGUAUAGGGGCGAAAGACUAAUCGAACCAUCUAGACUGGGGUCCUGC
rnacentral:rRNA from 1 species